rnacentral:rRNA from 1 species
UACGGAGGUUCCAAGCGUUGUUCGGAAUUACCGGGCGUAAAGGGAGCGUAGGCGGACUUUUUAAGUGAGAUGUGAAAUACCCGGGCUUAACUUGGGUGCUGCAUUUCAAACUGGAAGUCUAGAGUGCAGGAGAGGAGAAUGGAAUUCCUAGUGUAGCGGUGAAAUGCGUAGAGAUUAGGAAGAACACCAGUGGCGAAGGCGAUUCUCUGGACUGUAACUGACGCUGAGGCUCGAAAGCGUGGGGAGCAAACAGGAUUAGAUACCCUGGUAGUCCCU